ensembl:lncRNA
GGCAACACUGAUAGAAGCAUAGGUUUUAAAUUCCAUCCUUCUUUUGCAUACAUUGCCACUGGAUCAUAACAGGUUUAUUUAAUUAGUCAAUAAUUAAAGGCUUUAUUUCAUACAAGUGUACAGAAGUUGCUUAGAAAUAAGUUUAAACUCAACAGAUUGACACUGAAACCACACUGAACAAAGAGCCUUUAAAAAGUUAUUCUUGGAGAUUCGUCCAAAAAUCAGGUGAGGACACUUUUUCAUGGGCAGACAUUCAGGCAGCAGCAGACAUCUGAGGGGGCGGUGGGAUGGAAGUAAAGUGCAGGGAGCUGCUCGGAAAAAGUUACCUGCAAGGACACGACUCAUUCAAAUUCGGAGUGACUGACAAGCCUCCUGGAUAGGUCCCCACAGCAGAAUAUAUUAAGACAUUGUCCAAGAAUGCAGGGAAUGAAAUCAUCAGCAAAAAUGGCAGUCAGUCAAUCUGCUUGUCAUCAUCACUGAUGAAGAAGAAGAGAAGUUAUUUUUCUCAGUUGCCUCACAAAAACACUACAUGAUAUCACCAGCGUCAAAGUACAUCCUGUCAAUCAGAGAUGGUAAACUUAAAUAAUUAAGUUAUUGCUAUGGAUAUUGGUUCCAUAAUUUGAAUUCAAUUAAUUAAUUAAUUAAUUCAAUUAAUCCUUUAUCAAAUUAAAGUAUAAAAUAAGAUCUUACAGUUAUUUUACAGAAAUUCAGUUUAUAGAGGAAGGAUCCUUAUAUAUUAAGGUUUAUUUUGGAUUGGUUUAAAAUAUUUUAGAAAUUCCAUUCAUUCAUUCAUUUAUUUAUUAUUUAGUUGUCAAACGUAUCAAUUUAUCAGUUCUUAUUUAAAACAAAUGUACUACUUUUACAUUACAAUGCAUCUGCAAUAAUG